rnacentral:rRNA from 1 species
GUCGACGAGCGAGAGAGAGCUUGCUUUCUCGAGCGAGUGGCGAACGGGUGAGUAACGCGUGAGGAACCUGCCUCAAAGAGGGGGACAACAGUUGGAAACGACUGCUAAUACCGCAUAAGCCCACGGGUCGGCAUCGACCAGAGGGAAAAGGAGCAAUCCGCUUUGAGAUGGCCUCGCGUCCGAUUAGCUAGUUGGUGAGGUAAUGGCCCACCAAGGCGACGAUCGGUAGCCGGACUGAGAGGUUGAACGGCCACAUUGGGACUGAGACACGGCCCAGACUCCUACGGGAGGCAGCAGUGGGGAAUAUUGCACAAUGGGGGAAACCCUGAUGCAGCGACGCCGCGUGGAGGAAGAAGGUCUUCGGAUUGUAAACUCCUGUUGUUGGGGAAGAUAAUGACGGUACCCAACAAGGAAGUGACGGCUAACUACGUGCCAGCAGCCGCGGUAAAACGUAGGUCACAAGCGUUGUCCGGAAUUACUGGGUGUAAAGGGAGCGCAGGCGGGAAGACAAGUUGGAAGUGAAAUCUAUGGGCUCAACCCAUAAACUGCUUUCAAAACUGUUUUUCUUGAGUAGUGCAGAGGUAGGCGGAAUUCCCGGUGUAG